CUACGGAGGAUCCGAGCGUUAUCCGGAUUUAUUGGGUUUAAAGGGUGCGCAGGCGGCCAUUUAAGUCAGCGGUUAAAUCGUGGGGCUCAACCCCAUUCUGCCAUUGAUACUGGGUGGCUUGAUUGCGGUCGAGGUUGGCGGAAUUCGUUGUGUAGCGGUGAAAUGCAUAGAUAUGACGAAGAACACCGAUUGCGUAGGCAGCUGACCAGACCGCAAAUGACGCUCAUGCACGAAAGUGCGGGGAUCGAACAGGAUUAGAUACCCUGGUAGUCCGCACAGUAAACGAUGAAUACUUGUUUUCGGCGAUAUAAUGUCGGAGGCAAAGCGAAAGCGAUAAGUAUUCCACCUGGGGAGUACGCCGGCAACGGUGAAACUCAAAUGAAUUGACGGGG
rnacentral:rRNA from 1 species